AUUAACACGUAAGUGGGAGCAUUGGAAUUAAUAGUCAGCAUAUUUAGAACUAGACUGGGAUGGUGUAUUCUUUGCAAAUCAAUGUAAUCUACUGAUUGCAUUCAGUGUCUAACUAUUUCUUAUUUUUCACCUUGUCUUGGGCUCUGUUUGUGGCACCAAGUUCCAAUGAGUGAUACCUGCUAGCUUUCAGAAUCGAGGACCUGCUCAGUGACACAGUCUCUUCUAACUUUAAUUCCAGGAUUAACACUCACACUUCUACCAAAAAGAUUCCAUUUAUUUUAUUACGAAAAAAAAUAAAAAAUCUAUAACUAUUGACGGCUCUUUUAAAAGGAACAUUCUGGGCGCCAUAACAACUUUGUUGAGACAAAGUAGUUAUGGUGCCUGGUGAUCCUGGACAACAUUUUACCUUAAGAGGUAAAACCAUUUAUAAAUGGUUUAACACCAAAGUGCUCCAAAUAAUUAUUCUUUCUCCUCUGGCGCCAGUUUGAAUAUGGAUGCCUUACACUGGG